rnacentral:rRNA from 1 species
CCCCUGGCGGAACCGCGGCCGCUGCAGAGGUUGAACCCGGCUCAGAACGAACGCUGGCGGCGCGUUUUAAGCAAGCAAGUCAAAGGGGCCAAUUAUAGCGAUAAAGAUAGCAACCGGCGCACGGGUGAGUAAUAUGGGAGAAUCCACCCCAAGGACUGGGAUAGUAAGCAGAAAUGCAUAGGAAAACCGGAUAAGCCGAGAGGGGAAAAGGGCAACUGAACCGCCUUAGGAUGAGCCUGCAUCCCAAUAGCCAGGUGGGAGGGGAAGAGCCCACCAAGGCGACGAUGGGUAGCCGGCCCGAGAGGGUGAACGGCCACAAUGGAACCGAGACACGGUCCAAGACUUCCACGGGAGGCAGCAGCCAAGAAUCUUUCGCAAAGGGAGGAUUCCUUACGGAGCGACGCCGCGUGAACGAUUAAGGCAGAAAUUUUUUAAAGUUUUUUUUUAUUGGUAGAAUAAGUGUAGGAGGUGGAAAGCCCCCC